GUGCUUUCUUUGACUGCACAUAUCUUAAAAUUGGAAUGAUACAGAAAAGAUUAGCAUGGCCCUUACACAAAGAUGACAUACCAUUUUGUGAAGCAUCCCAUAUUUUU
ensembl:snRNA U6 U6 spliceosomal RNA